GCAUUUAAAAUAGCCCUUAAUUAGAAGUGGCUUUCCUGAAGCAAGAGUGGAACAAGAGUUGGGUGUCCCGUGGAGUUCCCUCCAUCCACUUCAGUAGUCUAGCUUAGCUCCGCCAUGAGAGCCAGUUGUUGCUCCAUACUACGGGAUUGGGGGAACUCCGGUCUCUGGAGGAGAACUUACAUAAUUAACUACCGUGGGAUGUUGUUAAGGAGCUAUACUCUCAUGGCUUUGUAGUUGGCUAUUCAUUAGGCCUCUCUCAUAGGAUGAGCAAAACCUACUGAAGUGUUUGGGGGAACUCUGGGUGUCACUCAACGUAGCAAAUAUAGGCUUUUGAAGAUAUUGAUGAGCUGCCUCCAAGCUGCGCUGAGCUUUUCUCAUGAGUUCAUUCUAAUCAGCAUAAGUAGUUCUUCAAGGAAAGUCGCGAAUAGGCUGGGUGGUGGCCUCUAAACAUGGGCAGCCCAACGGCACACGUUGUUUGCCCCAACUAGCGGCUCGUUCAUCUCCGCUGGCUCCUCCUCCUCCUCCUCUUUGUCUCUGCCGAAGGGGAAACGGAGUUGGUGGAGAUUGUGAGGUUUCGAAGAUUUUGUAUACGCUCAAGGGGAUAUUUUACAGCCAAGUGGUCUUUUGACGAGUGAAAGUCGCAAAGGUGGUGGCGAGCUGUUAAGACAGCUUCAUGCAUUAGCUCGGGCUGAAUCAGAGCUCUGCAUUCAUCGGAGUAAAGUUUCAAAAAUUGAAGAGAAGGUCAACCUUUUUAAUUAACUGAAUUGUUAUGCUGUGCAAUUUCAGUUUCAUGACUCCUGUAUCCUUUCUUGUUUAUGCAAUUUA